AUGCAUGGGGUGUGUGCGUUCCGUUGGGCAAAAGCCUCCUGCAGCAGACACAUUCCACCACCUCCCACUUCCCCAGUUCUGCAGGCCCUUCUUGUCGUCCUAGUCGAGGCUGUUCCUCUGAAGGUGAGGGGGCAGCGGGGAAGACUCCCGCCCCCUCGCAGGUCCCCACCGCCCUGGGGGCCAGGCCAGCACGGAAAGGCUACCGCUUUGAAGAGAGCCGCAGGGCAAGCUGAGCGCACGCACGCACGCAGGCAGGCAGGGCGGAGCCGCGCGCGCUUGGAUUGGCCGAAGUCUCGCCUUUCGUCGCCGCCUCGCUCUUCCCCGUCUCUCCCGCGUCUCCGCCUGUCACUCUUGUCCGAACAGGAGAAGCUCUCCAGGCGACGAGGCGAACCCUUGCGCGGCAGCCCACUCUGCGCCGCCGCCGCCGCCGCCACCAUGCACCUCUGCAGCUUUGCGUGGCGCCCUCUGGCCCGCCGCCUCACGCAAGGGGCUGCCCCCUUCGUCCGCGGACACGCACCUUUCCGCCAGAUGUCAUCUGGAAGCGUUCCUGGAUCUUCUGGGGAGAACUUUAUUUAUUAUCUGCUCGUUGCUGGUGCUGCUGCAGCAGGAGGUUUUUUAGCCUACAGAACGGUUACUUCUGACAAAUCCAGGUACAACGAACGUAUCAGUGAUAUGCAGCAAAGAACUGUAGCAGAAUGGAAACCAAAACCGUGGCCUCCUCAGUAAUAAAAUACAAAGGAAAUCUUUCCAAAACCGAGGAAUUAAUUUUUUUAAGGACAGUCCAUCGUUGUAUACUUCGCAGCCAAACUUGAGAAAACCAUCUCUUAUAGAACUCCAUUUUUGUGAGAAUACUCCCCAAUAAUUAUAUCUUUUCAAGGCCAAGACACAACUUAAAUACAUCCUAUAGAAGAUAACUUGGCACUCUUAAGACACUGGCUGUUUUGAAUUAAUACACUUGUAAUUGACUGUCCAAUAAAGGGUCCUGAACACUUAUCUUGCUUGUCAAUCUGUGUUUUGUGUGAACAG
rnacentral:lncRNA from 1 species